rnacentral:rRNA from 1 species
GGUCAAGCUAAUAAGAGCGCAGGGAGGAUGCCUUGGCAUUGGGAGCCGAAGAAGGACGCGGUAAGCUGCGAAAAGCUGCGGGGAAUUGCAAGCAAGUGUUGAUCCGCAGAUGUCCGAAUGGAGCAAUCCGUCAGGAGUAACGUCCUGACAUCAUAUACUGAAUCAAUAGGUAUAUGAGGGGAACCGCCUGAACUGAAACAUCUAAGUAGGGCGAGGAAAAGAAAUCAACCGAGAUUCCGAAAGUAGUGGCGAGCGAAAUCGGAAGAGGCUAAACCAUAAGUGGAAACACAUAUGGGGUUUAGGACUGCAUUUAGAAUUGAAUCAAGCGAACAGAAUCUUGUGGGAAAAAGAACCGAAGAGUGUGAGAGUCACGUACGUGAAGUGAGAAUCAUCGAGCAGGAUCCAAAGUACCGCGGGGCACGUGAAAUCCCGUGGGAAGACGGGGGGACCACCCUCCAAGCCUAAAUACUACCCAAUGACCGAUAGCGAAGAGUACUGUGAAGGAAAGGUGAAAAGCACCCCGGGAGGGAAGUGAAAAAGAACCUGAAACCCUGUGCUUACAAGCACUGAGAGCUCGUCAAAGAGUGAUCAGGUACCUAUUGUAGAAUGGUCCGGCGAGUUAUGGUAUGCAGCAAGGUUAAGUGCUUAAGGCACGGAGCCGCAGCGAGAGCGAGUCUGAAAAGGGCGUUAAGUUGUAUGCUAUAGACCCGAAACCGAGUGACCUAGCCAUGUCCAGGCUGAAGUGGAGGUAAAACUCCAUGGAGGGCCGAACCGACCUCCGUUGAAAAGGCGGCGGAUGAGGUGUGGCUAGCGGAGAAAUUCCAAUCGAACUCGGAUAUAGCUGGUUCUCUCCGAAAUAGCUUUAGGGCUAGCGUUGCAAUAGAUUACCGGAGGUAAAGCACUGAAUAGGCUAGGGGGCGAGAGCUUACUGAACCUUAUCAAACUAAGAAUGCCGGAUAAUUGUUUUGCAGCAGUCAGACUGUGUGAGAUAAGUUUCAUAGUCAAAAGGGAAACAGCCCAGACCCACAGCUAAGGUCCCUAAAUACAUUUAAGUGGAAAAGGAUGUGGGGUUGCCCAGACAACCGGGAUGUUGGCUUAGAAGCAGCCAUACAUUAAAAGAGUGCGUAAUAGCUCACCGGUCGAGUGACCCUGCGCCGAAAAUUCAACGGGGCUAAAAUGUAUACCGAAGCUUGGGAUUG